AUUAAGCUCCGCUUUCCGUUCCUACUUUUCCAGCUUCGAUUUCGUUAACUGAAUUGGCUAUGGCUGCCACUGCUCGGAGGCUAGUCGCCUCUUCAAUCCUUUAUCUCAAUCAUAUUGAAAAAAUUCAAUUUCAAGUCACUUCGCCGAUCGCUCUGCAUCACUCUGCUAGCCGUCGUCAUUUUUCCGUUGUUUCGCCCGAACAAUCUGGGCCUUUUCAAUCAGGGGAUGGUUCUGGACCUUGUUCUGACAAGUUUCACAAAUGGCUCAAUGGAGGGGGCACUUUCCACGAAUCGGCUUCCAUAGACUCAUCUGCGGUUGUAGAGAUUGGCGCUGUUGUUCAUCCAAAAGCAGUUGUUGGAGCAAAUGUUCAUAUAGGGUCUGGAACGAUUGUUGGGCCUUCUGUUAUAAUUGGCCAUUCAACAAAAAUAGGGUAUAAUGUUGCUCUGAGUAAUUGCCAGGUCGGUAAUUUGUGUGUAUUUCACAAUGGAGUCUGCAUUGGUCAAGACGGGUUUGGAUUUUAUGUAGAUGGUAGUGGUAAUGUGAUAAAGAAGCCUCAGAUGUUGAAUGUCAUAAUAGGGGCACAUGUGGAAAUUGGUGCAAAUACAUGCAUUGAUCGGGGCAGUUGGAGAGAUACAACCAUUGGGGAUCAUACAAAGUUGGAUAACUUGGUACAGAUUGGUCAUAAUGUAGUUAUUGGGAAGAAUUGUAUGAUUUGUGGGCAAGUAGGUAUUGCAGGUUCAGCAACCAUAGGUGAUUAUGUGACUAUGGGGGGAAGAGUAGCUGUGCGAGAUCAUGUUUCCAUUGUAUCAAAGGUUCGGCUUGCAGCUACUAGUUGUGUCACCAAGGACAUCCAAGAGCCUGGGGAUUAUGGUGGUUUCCCUGCUGUUUCCAUUCACAAAUGGAGGAGACAAAUCGUUAGCAGCUGUAGGACUUCAGGGAAACGGAGUCCUUAAAGUCGGUUAGAUUUAUCACGGUAGGCAGUGUGCAGUCGUAGGUUAAACUCAAGCAUCUGUGUCAUGUGCCAACUUGAGUGCCAUAAUUUUUUUUUUUAAAAUCAUCUAGCAGCACAAAAAUAUUUAAGAAAAAAAAUCUAAAAUUGGUGAAUCUCUCCCUUCUGUGCAAUUGAUGUUGGUUUUCAUUCUGUAUUAUCUUGUUCUUGAUGUGACGUUCAAAGCACUGGGGCUCUCCGUUGAAAUGCCUGAUACUUUGAUGGUUUAUCAAGUUCCAUUUCUAAGUCUUGAGAUUAUUAACAUGACUGGUUGACACAGCAACAAAUAUAUAACAACAAAUGAAACGUAAAACACCGAAUUUGAUACAGUUCAGACCCGGAAAAAAAAUUCACAAAUACUAUGACCAAGAGGGUGUGCACACACACUAUGGAUUGGUGCAUGCGCUAUUAGGAAGGAAUGAAAAAUCUACACACAGACACAGAGAGACACAGAUGGGACUAGUGAUCAAUGCUUUAUUUUGAACCUUGUGGUUUUCUUGGAGGGACUCUUGAUGGGAUACUUUUUCUUCUUACCCGAAAGCUUCCCACCAGGACCAAUGGGCAGAGUACCUUGGAGGUUCACCCCAUGAAACUUGCUCUUAAUUCCCCAUGUCUUAUAUCGAAACCUGGUCUUCAGAGCAGCCUUCAACUCAGCUGUGGCGUUCGAAAUCGCAUUGACCAGAGGCUUCAGAGCUCGACCGUUGGCAUUAGUACUCUGAAACAUACUAUUGCUCUUACCAGCUCGUUGACGAAAAGAACCUAUGGUUGAUUGUGCCACCUGAUCCUGCCCAUACAGGAAACUCACAGUUAUGUCAUCAUAGGAAAUGCUAGACUCCUUGUUUGGGUUUUCAAUCUCGAGGUUGUAAAUGAUGGUGCCAUUCUGAUCAGAGGACUGUGGAAUGGAGACGAAGUCGAUGGAGUAGGAGGGAGGUUUGGGUCUUAGGGCCAGCCAUAGGAUGAAAGCAAGAAGACC